UACGGGGGGAGCAAGCGUUGUUCGGAUUUACUGGGCGUAAAGGGCGCGUAGGCGGUCAGCACAAGUCAGUUGUGAAAUCUCCGGGCUUAACUCGGAAAGGUCAACUGAUACUGUGCGACUAGAGUGCAGAAGGGGCAACUGGAAUUCUCGGUGUAGCGGUGAAAUGCGUAGAUAUCGAGAGGAACACCUGCGGCGAAGGCGGGUUGCUGGGCUGAUACUGACGCUGAGGCGCGAAAGCGUGGGGAGCAAACAGG
rnacentral:rRNA from 1 species